AGUGAACGCUGGCGGUAGGCCUAACACAUGCAAGUCGAACGGCAGCACAGUAAGAGCUUGCUCUUACGGGUGGCGAGUGGCGGACGGGUGAGGAAUACAUCGGAAUCUACUUUUUCGUGGGGGAUAACGUAGGGAAACUUACGCUAAUACCGCAUACGACCUACGGGUGAAAGCAGGGGAUCUUCGGACCUUGCGCGAUUGAAUGAGCCGACGUCGGAUUAGCUAGUUGGCGGGGUAAAGGCCCACCAAGGCGACGAUGCGUAGCUGGUCUGAGAGGAUGAUCAGCCACACUGGAACUGAGACACGGUCCAGACUCCUACGGGAGGCAGCAGUAGGGAAUAUUCGACAAUGGGCGAAAGCCUGAUCCAGCAAUGCCGCGUGAGUGAUGAAGGUCUUCGGAUUGUAAAGCCCUUUUGUUGGGAAAGAAAAACAGCGGAAGUAACUCCCGCUGUUCUGACGGUACCCAAAGAGAAAGCACCGGCUAACUACGUG
rnacentral:rRNA from 1 species